AGAGUUUGAUCCUGGCUCAGAUUGAACGCUGGCGGUAUGCUUAACACAUGCAAGUCGAACGGAAACGAAACUAGCUUGCUAGUAGGCGUCGAGUGGCGGACGGGUGAGUAACGCGUAGGAAUCUGCCUGAUAGUGGGGGAUAGCCCGAAGAAAUUCGGAUUAAUACCGCAUAAUCUAUUCGUAGUAAAGUGGGGGACUUUCGAGCCUCACGCUAUCAGAUGAGCCUGCGUAAGAUUAGCUUGUUGGUAGGGUAAAAGCCUACCAAGGCAACGAUCUUUAGCUGGUCUGAGAGGAUGAUCAGCCACAUCGGGACUGAGACACGGCCCGAACUCCUACGGGAGGCAGCAGUGGGGAAUAUUGGACAAUGGGGGCAACCCUGAUCCAGCAAUACCGCGUGUGUGAAGAAGGCCCGAGGGUUGUAAAGCACUUUCAAUUGUGAAGAAAAGUCAACGGUUAUUAACCGUUGACCUUGACGUUAACUUUAGAAGAAGCACCGGCUAACUCCGUGCCAGCAGCCGCGGUAAUACGGAGGGUGCAAGCGUUAAUCGGAAUUACUGGGCGUAAAGCGUGCGUAGGCGGUUUAUUAAGUCAGAUGUGAAAGCCCCGGGCUUAACCUGGGAACUGCAUUUGAAACUGGUCAACUAGAGUAUGGUAGAGGAAAGUGGAAUUUCUGGUGUAGCGGUGAAAUGCGUAGAUAUCAGAAGGAACAUCAAUGGCGAAGGCAGCUUUCUGGACCAAUACUGACGCUGAGGUACGAAAGCGUGGGUAGCAAACAGGAUUAGAUACCCUGGUAGUCCACGCCGUAAACGAUGAUAACUAGCCGUUGGGGGGAUUUACCCCUUAGUGGCGAAGCUAACGCGUUAAGUUAUCCGCCUGGGGAGUACGGCCGCAAGGCUAAAACUCAAAGGAAUUGACGGGGACCCGCACAAGCGGUGGAGCAUGUGGUUUAAUUCGAUGCAACGCGAAGAACCUUACCUGGUCUUGACAUCCUGCGAACUUUCUAGAAAUAGAUUGGUGCCUUCGGGAACGCAGUGACAGGUGCUGCAUGGCUGUCGUCAGCUCGUGUCGUGAGAUGUUGGGUUAAGUCCCGUAACGAGCGCAACCCCUAUCUUUAUUUGCCAGCACAUUAUGGUGGGAACUAUAAGGAGACUGCCGGUGAUAAACCGGAGGAAGGCGGGGACGACGUCAAGUCAUCAUGGCCCUUACGACCAGGGCUACACACGUGCUACAAUGGGAAGGACAAAGAGCCGCGAAGCCGCGAGGUGUAGCUAAUCUCAUAAAUCUUUUCGUAGUCCGGAUUGGAGUCUGCAACUCGACUCCAUGAAGUCGGAAUCGCUAGUAAUCGUAGAUCAGAAUGCUACGGUGAAUACGUUCCCGGGUCUUGUACACACCGCCCGUCAUACCAUGGGAGUGGGUUGCACCAGAAGUGACUAGUCUAACUUUGUGAGGACGGUCACCACGGUGUGAUUCAUGACUGGGGUAAAGUCGUAACAAGGUAACC
rnacentral:rRNA from 1 species